rnacentral:rRNA from 1 species
AGAGUUUGAUCCUGGCUCAGGAUGAACGCUAGCGACAGGCCUAACACAUGCAAGUCGAGGGGCAUCGGGGCGAGGAGCAAUCCUUGCCGCCGGCGACCGGCGCACGGGUGAGUAACGCGUAUGCGACCUGCCCGUUGCAGGGGGAUAAUCGGGAGAAAUCCCGUCUAAUACCGCGUAACGCCGCGGGGCUGCAUGGCCCUGCGGCCAAAGGAAGCGAUUCCGGCAACGGAUGGGCAUGCGUGACAUUAGCUAGUUGGCGGGGCAACGGCCCACCAAGGCGACGAUGUCUAGGGGUUCUGAGAGGAAGGUCCCCCACACUGGUACUGAGACACGGACCAGACUCCUACGGGAGGCAGCAGUGAGGAAUAUUGGUCAAUGGGCGCGAGCCUGAACCAGCCAAGUCGCGUGAGGGAUGACGGCCCUACGGGUUGUAAACCUCUUUUGUCGGGGAGCAAAUUCCGCCACGUGUGGCGGAGUCGAGAGUACCCGAAGAAAAAGCAUCGGCUAACUCCGUGCCAGCAGCCGCGGUAAUACGGAGGAUGCGAGCGUUAUCCGGAUUUAUUGGGUUUAAAGGGUGCGUAGGCGGACUGUCAAGUCAGCGGUAAAAUACGGGGGCUCAACCUCCGCCCGCCGUUGAAACUGACGGUCUUGAGUGGGCGAGAAGUAUGCGGAAUGCGUGGUGUAGCGGUGAAAUGCAUAGAUAUCACGCAGAACUCCGAUUGCGAAGGCAGCAUACCGGCGCCCAACUGACGCUGAAGCACGAAAGCGUGGGUAUCGAACAGGAUUAGAUACCCUGGUAGUCCACGCAGUAAACGAUGAAUACUAGCUGUCCGGGGCGAAUGAGCCCUGGGUGGCACAGCGAAAGCGUUAAGUAUUCCACCUGGGGAGUACGCCGGCAACGGUGAAACUCAAAGGAAUUGACGGGGGCCCGCACAAGCGGAGGAACAUGUGGUUUAAUUCGAUGAUACGCGAGGAACCUUACCCGGGCUCAAACGACACAGGAACGGUCCUGAAAGGGGUCGGCUCUACGGAGCCUGUGUCGAGGUGCUGCAUGGUUGUCGUCAGCUCGUGCCGUGAGGUGUCGGCUUAAGUGCCAUAACGAGCGCAACCCCCAUCGACAGUUGCUAACAGGUCAGGCUGAGGACUCUGUCGAGACUGCCGGCGCAAGCUGCGAGGAAGGCGGGGAUGACGUCAAAUCAGCACGGCCCUUACGUCCGGGGCGACACACGUGUUACAAUGGCAGGUACAGCGGGAAGCCACCUGGCGACAGGGAGCGGAACCCGAAAGCCUGUCUCAGUUCGGAUUGGAGUCUGCAACCCGACUCCAUGAAGCUGGAUUCGCUAGUAAUCGCGCAUCAGCCACGGCGCGGUGAAUACGUUCCCGGGCCUUGUACACACCGCCCGUCA